rnacentral:rRNA from 1 species
AUACGGAGGAUCCGAGCGUUAUCCGGAUUUAUUGGGUUUAAAGGGUGCGCAGGCGGCCAUUUAAGUCAGCGGUUAAAUCGUGGGGCUCAACCCCAUUCUGCCGUUGAUACUGGAUGGCUUGAUUGCGGUCGAGGUCGGCGGAAUUCGUUGUGUAGCGGUGAAAUGCAUAGAUAUGACGAAGAACACCGAUUGCGUAGGCAGCUGACCAGACCGCAAAUGACGCUCAUGCACGAAAGUGCGGGGAUCGAACAGGAUUAGAUACCCUGGUAGUCCGCACAGUAAACGAUGAAUACUUGUUUUCGGCGAUAUAAUGUCGGAGGCAAAGCGAAAGCGAUAAGUAUUCCACCUGGGGAGUACGCCGGCAACGGUGAAACUCAAAUGAAUUGACGGG